GAAUUGGCCGUUGCCAUCACAAAUCACACUUGACGAUUCGAAAUCACAUAUUCUCAAUUCGUUUCUGCUCACUCAUAGGCUCUCGCGAUUCUACGAGGGGUCCAUUCAUCACCACAACUAAAAGUCCGAAUUCCGAAAGGACAAGCCAUUCUUGGCCUAUCUUUUCUGGACCUCGACGUUGCCCUGACAUUGCUGGGUCCACGUAUGCAAGAUAUCUGUGCAGGCUGUGCUGACAGCUCUAGGAGCUCGUUCCACUACCCACGACUGGCAGAGUGGAUUUGUGAGGCCUCAGCUUUGAUGGACCUCAAGAUCUGACGAAUGUCAACAAUGGCUUGUCGUUGGAGGACAAGAUGGGGACGCGUUGUUACCGGCAACCUGUGGUCCUGCGCAAGGCGGGGGGAAAGGGGGGCUGACUGGCUUCAAGUGGAGAAGAAGGACUGUCAGACACAACAGCUUUGAUAUUGCAUGGCAAUACUACUCGAGUAGCAGGGCGAUAUGAGCUGUGUCAUGGAUAGGUUUCGUAUAUUUCUGAUGGAUCAGUUCAGCUAAUGUCAGCGCAGGCCACGAACAAUCAUGUGAUUUGUUUACA